GAUGAACGCUAGCUACAGGCUUAACACAUGCAAGUCGAGGGACCGGCGCACGGGUGAGUAACACGUAUCCAACCUUCCCUUUACUCGGGGAUAGCCUUUCGCAAGAAAGAUUAAUACCCGAUGUAAAGUAUGGGGAUGCGUUCCAUUAGGUUGUUGGUGAGGUAACGGCUCACCAAGCCUUCGAUGGAUAGGGGUUCGGAGAGGAAGGUCCCCCACAUUGGAACGGAGACACGGUCCAAACUCCUACGGGAGUCAGGAGUGAGGAAUAUUGGUCAAUGGGCGUUAGCCUGAAACAGCCAAGUAGCGUGAAGGAUGAAGGCUUAUGGGUCGUAAACUUCUUUUAUAUAAGAAUAUGUAUUAUAUGAAUAAGGAUCGGCUAACUCCGUGCCAGCAGCCGCGGUAAUUC
rnacentral:rRNA from 1 species